GAAGAAUUUUAAAAGAAUAUAUAAAAUUGUUAUUGCUGCAAUAAGUGACUAUUCCCCCAAUAGCGAAAAAGAAUUUCGAGCAGCACUCCAAGUCGUAAAAAAAAGGCACUUCCGAGUUGUUUGUUCCCAAAACAAAAACAAAAAUUAAUUAUAUAAUUUGUUAAUUACAUGUAAUUUUUAAUUUUUUUAAUGACAGUGAAUUGGAAUAUUACUUAAGUUUUUUUAAUGAAUUUAUUAUUACUUAUAUUAUUUAUCUCACUAAAGACUAUCAAUGUACCUGCAGAAUGAAAUAUUUAUUUUUAUGUUUUAUAGAAUAAAACACUAAUACUUAUAGUACAUUA